UGGGGAAUAUUGGACAAUGGGCGAAAGCCUGAUCCAGCCAUGCCGCGUGUGUGAAGAAGGUCUUCGGAUUGUAAAGCACUUUAAGUUGGGAGGAAGGGCAGUAAGCGAAUACCUUGCUGUUUUGACGUUACCGACAGAAUAAGCACCGGCUAACUCUGUGCCAGCAGCCGCGGUAAUACAGAGGGUGCAAGCGUUAAUCGGAAUUACUGGGCGUAAAGCGCGCGUAGGUGGUUCGUUAAGUUGAAUGUGAAAGCCCCGGGCUCAACCGGGGAACUGCAUCCAAAACUGGCGAGCUAGAGUAGGGCAGAGGGGGGUGGAAUUUCCUGUGUAGCGGUGAAAUGCGUAGAUAUAGGAAGGAACACAAGUGGCGAAGGCGACCACCUGGGCUCAUACUGACACUGAGGUGCGAAAGCGUGGGGAGCAAACAGG
rnacentral:rRNA from 1 species